UCUUGUAAAUAGCGAGCUUAGUUCUGGU
rnacentral:sRNA from 1 species